rnacentral:tRNA from 1 species
GCUGGCUUAGUAUAACUUAUUACGUGGGGCUGUAAAUCCCGAAAUAACGUAUGUUAGCCAGAA